rnacentral:rRNA from 1 species
GACGGAGGAGGCAAGCGUUAUCCGGAAUUAUUGGGCGUAAAGAGCGUGUAGGCGGCCCGGUCAGUCCGCCGUGAAAGUCCAGGGCUCAACCCUGGAAUGCCGGUGGAUACUGCCGGGCUGGAGUCCGGAAGAGGCGUGUGGAAUUCCUGGUGUAGCGGUGAAAUGCGCAGAUAUCAGGAGGAACACCAAUGGCGAAGGCAGCUCGCUGGGACGGUACUGACGCUGAGACGCGAAAGCGUGGGGAGCAAACAGG